rnacentral:lncRNA from 1 species
CAGUAAUUCAUGUGACAUCUAAAAAAGCAUGUAAGCAAGCAAGCAUCAACUAAUUUCAUUGUUUUCCCCACAAAAAAGGUCUUUUUUUUGAUGGAAUGGUUGAUUAUAUGCUAAAAUAAGUGAUAUUUGUGACCAAAAAAAUCCCUAUAUGUACUGUCAAGGUACUGGGUCUGAGGACCAGGGUUUGUAUUUUCUGUUUUUAAAUUCUUUCUGAUUUUGUGUUAAUUAUUUUAUACUCCUCGUCUUUCUUGCAGUUUCAAGGAUUUAGAUUUUGUCUCUGUGCCUCCCUGUGUUCCACGUGUCAUGUCUAGUGUCCCCGAUCCCUAUGUUCAUCUCUCUGCUGUGCAUGCCCAGUCAGUGUGUCUCCAUGUCGCAGUGAGUUACUCUUGUCUCUGUGCUCCAUGUUCUCUCUGUCUCCCCUGUCAUCACUGCCUCCUUGUCAAGUCUGCAUCUCUGUGCCUGUCUUAUGUUUCCUGUUUUACUUUGACAGUCUUGUGUCCUGGGUUCAGAGUUUUCAGUUUUGCUUCCGCCCUGUCUCAUUUCGUCAGAUUGGUCCCAGCUGUGUUUCCCGCCUGUGUCCCAUUGCCUCAUCACUCUCUGGUGUGUUAAAGCCUUGUGUUUUCCUCUGUCCAUUGUUACGUCAUUAUCCUGUGUUCAUGUGUUUCUGCAGAGCGCCACGUAAUUCCAAGUUUUCUGUUCCAGUCUUAGUUUUCCAGUUUCCUAGCUUUAGUUCCAUGUUUCUAAUUCCUAGUUUCCCGAGUUUUGGUUAUUGGUGCUUUUUUGAACAGAAUGGCUUGCUAUACUAAUACAGCUGCCUCCCUAUCCCUCUGUGUCUUGUGAGUCCUGCAUUUGGGUCCUCAUCUUGCUUGCCACAGCACUAACCUUGGCAUAUAAGCAGAAAUCAUAUCGAUCCAAAGGCACAUUUAUCAAUUCAAGUAGACACAAACCUCAAGCUUAUCAAAUGUAUUAUCAUGUAAUUUAUUAACCAACUGGAUGAAAGAUAUUUGCAGAAAGUAACAAGGAAUGAAUAUUGGGUAACAGUACUGAACAUGUCCUGAGUGUGUUUGGAUGUUAGUGUGCACGUGUGUGGGAGUUUUCUGUGAAAACAAACUUGUGUGACCUUUUUGCCACAGUUUCUGUGGCUGUGGGUGCUGUCUGUUGAUUGAAUGUGAAAUGCUUUGCAUUAAAGCACUCAGGUCAGAAUUAGUUUUGCUGUGCACUGGCAGCUGACGUCCCUGUAUGUCAGCUCUCCUUGGGAAAUGAGAACUGCCUGAUGUGUCCUCAGUGGAUGGAACUGAUGGCCCAUCUUUAGCCAUCUCCUGAACUGCUUUCUCAACUGCUUCAAACAACUUGAUUGCCAUUUCUGCCUUUUCAGAAUCAAAGAGACUUUAUUAAUCCCAGAGGGAAUCUGAGUUGUCAUAGCAGCUAAUAUACAACAAACAUCAAGCACUCAUAUAAAAUUGUGCCACACAGUAAACAGUUCUGCAGCAUCUGAAAUUUCCCGUUGCUGACAAGACAGUUGGUGCUAUUUCUGUGCUGUCCUCUUGAGGGUUCAUCCCACACCAUCCAGUGGACCCUUCUGUGGCUCGCCGUUUCAUGUCCCAGCAGUGAAUACUAGUUUGAACAGUUCAGUAGAAAACAUAAAACAAUUCCCUCUCUGUCUCUAUUGAAAGCAUCACUGCAAAAGUGGAUUGUGAAUGUGCCCUCUGCAUGUAAUUGAGCACUGGUGACAAGUGCUGCCAGAUUGCUGGUGGGCCCUUAAAUCUUGAUGGGGACACUGUGCAGAAGGAUGUUGGAUGGGAGGAUGUAUGUAUAUAAAGCACAUCUGUGUGCUGGUGUGAUGUUCUGAAGUGGACUGCUUGUAUCUCUGUGCUAUAUUUUCAGAGCUCAUUUUCAGAGGUCAACAUGAAUCAAGUCUUCUUGUGCUUUCAAGCCUCGUCUC